ensembl:misc_RNA Metazoa_SRP Metazoan signal recognition particle RNA
GCUGGGUGUGGUGGUGCAUGCCUGUAAUCCCAGCUACUCGGGAGGCUGAGGCAGGAGAAUCGCUUGAGCCCAGGAGGCGGAGGUUGCAGUGAGCCAAGAUCGUGCCACUGUACUCCAGCCUGGGCGACAGAGCGAGACUCCAUCUCAA